rnacentral:rRNA from 1 species
AGCCCAGAGCCUGAAUCAGUGUGUGUGUUAGUGGAAGCGUCUGGAAAGGCGCGCGAUACAGGGUGACAGCCCCGUACACAAAAAUGCACAUAUUGUGAGCUCGAUGAGUAGGGCGGGACACGUGGUAUCCUGUCUGAAUAUGGGGGGACCAUCCUCCAAGGCUAAAUACUCCUGACUGACCGAUAGUGAACCAGUACCGUGAGGGAAA